rnacentral:rRNA from 1 species
UACGGAAGGCAGCAGUGGGGAAUAUUGCACAAUGGGCGAAAGCCUGAUGCAGCUAUGCCGCGUGUAUGAAGAAGGCCUUAGGGUUGUAAAGUACUUUCAUCGGGGAGGAAAAACAAAACUAAUAAUUUUAUUUCUUGACGUUACCCGAAAAAGAAGCACCGGCUAACUCCGUGCCAGCAGCCGCGGUAAUACGGAGGGUGCUAGCGUUAAUCAGAAUUACUGGGCGUAAAGAGCACGUAGGUGGGUUUUUUAAGUCAGAUGUGAAAUCCCUGGGCUUAACCUGGAACUGCAUUUUGAAACUGAAAUACUAGAGUAUCGUAGAGGGAGGUAGAAUUCUAGGUGUAGCGGUGAAAUGCGUAGAUAUCUGGAGGAAUACCUGUGGCGAAAGCGGCCUCCUAAACGAAUACUGACACUGAGGUGCGAAAGCGUGGGGAGCAAACAGGGAUUAGAUACC